UUGUGGUGUUACACAUAUUGGCACAGCCUGGGCUCAGGCAACAGCAUCCAAAGCGAAUCAGGAGGAUUACAGAUGAACUGGGGGAUAAGGGGUGGGUGUAUGUGCACAUGCACAACACCUGCUUUGUAUUCCCCCCAGAAUGGCACUAUUUUUCUUCAUUAGCUGGCUGUGCUGGAGAGUGUGCAAAGCUGCCAAACCUUUGCUUCCCCAGCAGCAAUGCUGCUCCACAGCUCCAGAGAGAAGAGCCCCGAAGGAAGUUCUAGUCUAUCCCUGAACACAGCUAUUUUUAAGGGCACAUCCAAAAAAGGGAAACAAGCAUCAAUGUGGAAAUGUAAGGAGGAGAGACACAAGAGCAACCUCGAAGAGCAAUCCCAGCAAUGACUUGCUCGAACGUGUCUCAACGUUCCCGUCUCACGUGCUCAAGAAGGAAUUUCCUUCUGGGGAGUCAGCAUUUACCACUGCAGGCAACACCAUGGAAGAACCGAACACAAACACUGGAGAAAACAC